AACUUUUUAACAACGGAUCUCUUGGUUCUGGCAUCGAUGAAGAACGCAGCGAAAUGCGAUAAGUAAUGUGAAUUGCAGAAUUCAGUGAAUCAUCGAAUCUUUGAACGCACAUUGCGCCCCCUGGUAUUCCGGGGGGCAUGCCUGUUCGAGCGUCAUUU
rnacentral:rRNA from 1 species